rnacentral:rRNA from 1 species
UACGUAGGGUGCAAGCGUUUAAUCGGAAUUACUGGGCGUAAAGCGUGCGCAGGCGGUUCUGUAAGUCUGUCGUGAAAUCCCCGGGCUUAACCUGGGAAUUGCGGUUGAAACUACAGGGCUAGAAUCUGGCAGAGGGGGGUGGAAUUCCACGUGUAGCAGUGAAAUGCGUAGAGAUGUGGAGGAACACCGAUGGCGAAGGCAGCCCCCUGGGUUAACACUGACGCUCAGGCACGAAAGCGUGGGGAGCAAACAGG